rnacentral:lncRNA from 1 species
AUAUUACCGGUCUUGUGGAUAACAGAUUUAUGGAAGAAUGAAGUGAGAGGAGAUUGACUGAUAGCAGCCGUAUCUCAUCGUGUAGCAGAAUUUUUCUUCUUCUUCUUCUUCUUCUUCUUCUUCUUCUUCUUCUUCUUCUUCUUCUUCUUCUUCCUCUUCUUCUUCUUCUCUCCUCCUCUCUCUCUCUCUCUCUCUUUCCCACGCUACGCCUCUCUCUCUGUUCCCCAUCUUGAUAACUGGUGUAGAGUCUUGCUUUGCAAGUGAAGUUGGCAAGGAUUAAAAUCAGUCUUGAAUUGGGAGUUUCCUUUUCUUCUUAUUAUUCUCUUUCUUGUUGGUUUCUAUUAUUUUCUGCACGCAGCAUAUUCUUGUUUGGGUGGAAUUCCACCGACACUUCAGAUUUCCUUUUCUUUUUCUUUUUCUUUUCUUUUUUUUUCAAGAACCAUCUCAGAAAAUUGUUAAGCUUUUUAUAUUUUA